rnacentral:rRNA from 1 species
AUAAUUAUUCCCUUACUUUAUAUUUUUUAUUUUUUUUGAGAAAAAUCUUUAAUUUAGUAUUUUAAUGAUAAAAUUAUUUUUGUUAUAGUCUAUUAGUACUGUGAAGGAAUAUGGUGAAAUAAUUGAUAUAUUAAUUUAUCAUAAGUAUAUUUUGUUUAUAGUACCUUUUGUAUCAGGGUUGAUCAAAUAAUUUAAUUUAUAUUUAUAUCUCGAUUUCAAAAGAGCUAAUUUAUUAUUAUAGUUAAUGUGUCAUAAUUAUUAUAAAUAUAAAUUAGAAGAGAAACUUUAUUCGAUUUUGAGGGUAUCUAGUUUUUUAAGAAAUAAAUUUAAUUUAGUUUUAUUAAUUAAUUUUUAUAUUUAUGUACCAAUUAUUUAAUGAAAGUAAAAUUAUAGGGGACAAGCUCUAUAUUUUUCUAUAAAAUUUAUUGAAACAUAUUUUUGUAGGUUUAAAAUUAUCCAUCAAUAGUAAGUGUGUUAUAAUUUAUGUAUUUUAUUUAACAAUUUUGUGGAUUUUAGUAUAAUAUUAAAAUAUCAUAAUUAAUUUUUUAUUUUGGGAAAUAAUGAUUGAAUUAGUAUAAAGUAUUGUUUAUGAUUUUAUUUAUUGAAUGAUAAUAUAAGGAACUCGGCAAAUAUAGUUCUCGCCUGUUUAACAAAAACAUGUCCUUUUGAGGUUUAUAAAAGGUCUGACCUGCCCAGUGAUGAAUUUAACGGCCGCGGUAUACUGACCGUGCAAAGGUAGCAUAAUCAUUAGUCUUUUAAUAGAGGGCUGGAAUGAAAGGUUUAACGAGGAACUGACUGUCUCAUAUUAUUUGUUUUAGAAUUUAAUUUUUUAGUCAAAAAGCUAAAAUUUUAUUGGAAGACGAGAAGACCCUAUAGAUCUUUAUAUAAUUUUAUUUAUUCAUUUAUAUAUAAAUGUGGUUGAAUUAUUAUUGUAUUUUGUUGGGGUGACAAGAAUAUAUAAAUAACUUUUUUAUUUAUUUAACAUUGAUUUAUGAUUAUUAGAUCCAUUAUUAGUGAUUAUUAGAUUAAGUUACCUUAGGGAUAACAGCGUAAUCCUCCUCCAGAGUUCAUAUUUACAGGAUGGGCUUGCGACCUCGAUGUUGGAUUAAGAUAAUAAUUAGGUGUAGCCGCUUAAUUUAUAGGUCUGUUCGACCUUUAAAC